rnacentral:lncRNA from 1 species
CCGUGGUGACGGUGACCCCGCUGCUCAGCUUCUCCCCCCCCCUCAUUCCCCUGCGCGACGUCGACUGCGCGGCCACCGCCGGCCCCCCCGUGAAGCUCCGGCUCUGCCUCCAGCCCCGCCUGGACACCAAAUCCUACACAGGACAGCCGGUGGUGCCCCUCGCCUUCCACGUGGCCGUGGACCCCCAGCGGGUUCGGGGCCGGGGGGUGCUGGGGGCCGGGGGGCGGCACUGGGACGGGCGCCUGGAGCUGCGCGGGGAGGAGGAGAAGUGCCUGGAGGAGACGAUGCGCGUCCUGGACCCCCGGGGCGCCCCCGGCCUCGUCCUCAACCCCGAGAGCACAGCGGGAUGGACCGAGAUCCCCUUCGAGAAGAACUGCGGGGCCGACGAGAACCGGGGGGAGGACGCCUACGGGGCCACCCUACGCCUCCGCCACCCGCGGGGGCUCUCCUUCCGCAGGGCCGGAGCCACCCAGGUGAGAUUUGGGGGCUUCUCUCCCCGGGGAGCCCCCCCCUGGCUCCCACCCCUCGUGCUGAAGGCACCGGGGGGCAACGGGGGGGGGGGGCGCCCCCAAACCCCCGGCCGGGGGCCCCCCCAGGACCACGGAGGCCAGGUCAACCCAGGGCAUGGUCUCAGAGGCCAGGUCAACCCAGGGCGUGGCCCCGGAGGCCAGGUCAACCCAGGGCAUGGUCCCGGAGGCCAGGUCAACCCAGGCCAUAGCCCCGGAGGCCAGGUCAUCCCAGGGCAUGGCCCCGGAGGCCAGGUCAACCCAGGCCAUAGCCCAGGAGGCCAGGUCAACCUUGGCUAUCGCCAAGCCAACCCUACCGAGGUGCCGUCUACGGGGGGCUGUCACCAUUGGGGCCCCUCCCUCCCCCAGCCCACCCCAAUUUGGGACCCCCCCCACACC